GACAGAGGCCUCAAGCGUUAGGCGGAAUCACUGGGCUUAAAGCGUGUGUAGGCGGAUCGGUAAGUACCUUGUGAAAUCCCACAGCUUAACUGUGGAACUGCUUGGUAUACUGCCAGUCUUGAGCCACUUAGGGGCUACCGGAACAAAUGGUGGAGCGGUGAAAUGCGUAGAUAUCAUUUGGAACGCCAAUGGUGAAAACAGGUAGCUGGGAGUGUGCUGACGCUGAGACACGAAAGCCAGGGGAGCAAACGGG
rnacentral:rRNA from 1 species